rnacentral:lncRNA from 1 species
CUUCCUGUACCCUGCUGAGUUCUCUCUGACCUCUGAACCUGCACAACUAAAGUUAGGGGAGAGGGAUGAGCUACGAUAGCCCAGUGAGUAGAAUAGGUCAAUAACAGGUGAUAAAACAUGCUCUCAUGGAAUGCAACACAGAAUCACAUCACCUCGGCCGGACGGAUCAAAACUCCCUCUAUCUCAUCUGGGGUACCUAAGUACCAUGUGCCUGGUCCCCGUAGGGCUGUUCCAGGUCUUUCUGUGUGUGCCUGGUCCCCGUAGGGCUGUUCCAGGUCUUUCCUCUGAGGGCUAAUGAAUCCUCACGAAGUCCGUGCCGUCUCACAUAAGCAAUGUACAAGGAGCAAUGCCAAGUACAAGGAUAAAUGCAAUGCAUCAUCUUGGUGUACACUAAUGCACUCACCCUAUAGCAUAUUCAUGAUGCAUGAAGCAUGGGAAAAUAGCAGUUAUCAUAUUAAAACAUGAAGUUAAAUUCCACUCACCUGUAGUUCUCUCUGAACUGACUCUGCAGGUUCUGACUCUGGACUCACUGCUGAUGUCCCUGAUUCCUCUGGUCCGUACCUACACAGGUGGACUCAAAUGAGGGACUAAACUCACUCAAGAACAUCUCUAAGAAACUCCCCAAAACCCCUCUAAACAAUCCUCAAACCAUCACAUAAAACAUGGAAAAGGAAGCUGGACAGGGCACUUUCGGCGGCAGGUUCGGCGGCCGAAACCCCACUCCAGAGACGAAACUCAUGCAUGUUCGGCGGCACCUUCGGCGGCCGAAGGUCUCGUCCAGAGACGAAACUCACACACUUUCGGCGGCCGAACUCCCUCUUUCGGCGGCCGAAAGUCCCUUUCUAAACCGAAAGCCUAGCUUUCGGGGACAACCUUUGGCAGCCGAACUGCCUCCACAAAGGGUUCGGCGGCCGAACCUUCCUUCGGCGGCCGAACCUGGUUUUGCCCGAAGGGCAGAACCCUGCUCUGUUUCAUGCAAACUUUGCCCAAAAACUACAAACAUGCAUCUCAACUACUCCCAACUAGCAUAUACACAUAUAUAUGCACAAAGGGGUCUAAAACUAUCCUAAAACCCCAAACAAACAUAGCACAUAACACUUAAUCAUGCUAGAACACCACAAAUCACCAAAAACCUCACCUAAACCUAAACAUGCUUACUACCC